UACGUAGGGGGCAAGCGUUGUCCGGAUUUAUUGGGCGUAAAGAGCGUGUAGGCGGCUAGGUAGGUCCGUUGUGAAAACUCGAGGCUCAACCUCGAGACGCCGAUGGAAACCAUCUGGCUAGAGUCCGGAAGAGGAGAGUGGAAUUCCUGGUGUAGCGGUGAAAUGCGAAGAUAUCAGGAAGAACACCCGUGGCGAAGGCGGGGCUCUGGGCCGUAAAUGACGCUGAGGAGCGAAAGCGUGGGGAGCGAACAGG
rnacentral:rRNA from 1 species